rnacentral:lncRNA from 1 species
UGAAGAAAAUCAAAUGAAUGAAGAGCUUACAGGAUAAGUAGAAAGUCUCCAAACUGAGCAGGCAUCUUUGCAGUCUGAAAAUGUGCAGCUUGAAAGGGAAAUUUGGAAGCUUCAGCUAGAAAAUGUAAUACAACUUUAGAGAAAAUCAGUGAACUGCUUAGAAAUAGAGAAGGAAUUUCCCAAAGUGUGUAGAAACAUGAACUCCACAUAUCAGGUACAAAACUUUUACAAGAAGGUGGCUAAAAACAAUGACAAAUAAUUAUGGAGUGCUUCUUUCUCCCAUUGAAAUGAGACUCUGAUUUGAGAAAAGAGCUUAAGAAAGUUGGAUGGCUGCUCUGUUGACUGAGAGAAAGCUCCAUGGACUCAGAAAAGAAAAUGAUCACAACAGGCAAAUAAAGGCUAAUAUUAAGUUCAAGUUCCAGUUUUUCCCAAAGGACCCUUUUGUUUCUGCUGCUCCACAUGCAGCUUAUAGAGGCCUAGAGAUGCCAGGGUGUCCGUUGAGUCAUAAGGUCCCCCAGGGAGAGU